UCGAGAGGCGACGGUUUGGACUCCAUCAGCGCCGUUAUCUUCAUCCCCGUAGAUAGCAGGACAGCUCCGACCUGGAGUCAUCCUCUGGGUCUUCUCAACUUUUGAGUGAAUGCCUUAAAGCGCUGAUAGAGGUUUCAUUCCUGCGGGCCGCUGAACUUUACCCCGCGUUUGGCCCCGGGGGGGAGCCCAGAAAACUUUUGUAAAUAGGAUGAGAGCAUCACUAGCUCCGUAAGGAUUUAUCGCUUAUCUGGAAUUGUGCAGAGGGCAGUUAAGAAUCAACCACAUUCUUGUACGUGUGGAGUCACAUGUAGGCCAGACUAGAUUCUGCCCUGCCUCCUCAAUGUCCGAUCGACCUAGUCUCACUUUACGAGGUGGCUUGCCUCAUGCAGCUCUUGACCCUAAUCUCCCUGGACAUUGCCAGGAGCCAGCACAGAAAUUGGGAGUGGCCUUGCCAAGAGGGAGAACGAUUCUAAGUGUGCGACCCCCGAAAUCAGAGUCCUUGCGAGAUUACCCACUGCAAGAUGAGCAAUUGGCAGCCAAUCUCGGAUUUACCCAUGGAAUUUCUGGCAUCCAUAUUAUUUUUGUUUUGAUCGAACGUAUUCAAAUUGAGUGA